GGUGUACGUGAUAAAGUGUACAGUCAAUAAAUCCUAUAUCAUUCUCACUUUUAGACCACAAUGUCAUAUUCUGGUAUUCAGCUGGCAAUGUAACUGCAGAAAUAGUACAGUGGAUAGGAUAGGUUAGAUCUAUGUGACGACAUGGUGUAGUUAUAUCAUAACCUAUGUCUGAGUUAUGUGACAAAAUCACUGUUUGACCUUCACUUGUGUGAGCAGUUAUCAUGUUGUUGAACAGUGUGAGAGAAACAAAAGUGUGGCUCCCAGUCAUGGGAUUACCUGUUAGUGGCGUCUGUACACGUUUUUUUUUUUUUUUUUUUUGGCACAGUGUGUGACAUAGAGUACCGGACAAAAAGGAUGUUGAGUUCAUUCUCUGCUGAGGGUCCAGCUGACACAGAGGAUGUUCCUUCUCCAUCGUCGGUACAUAGGGCAGAGAAAACAUAAGCUGUUAUCAGUGUCAGCAAACAUUUCACCCUUUGUGUUAAAUUAAAUACACAAAUUCAUUUUUGCUUUGGGUGUCUGCGGCUGCUGGAAAACUGAGCUAAAUUUGCACCUCUAGCUUGUCCAACAGUGCAUAAAGCGUUUUAUGAAUACUAGGAUGGAUUCAUCAGGCUUCUGUUUACACAUAGUUACUGCAUUUAAGUCACUUUUGUCUCUGGACAUUGUUAGCAGGAAUUUCUUUAGAUUCUUAAAGAAAUCGGCGACUUUGUCAUUAUUUACCCUCCUUUUGUCCAUAGCGGUAACAUUUGAUGCAUCACGUCGCGGCAUUCUAUCAUAUAUUUUCUACAGGACUUUUUAAGCAGACUACUUUUCUUAUCACAAAUGAUAUUCAACAUUUCUACUGACCUGUUUUCUGGCGAUAAUCGUUCGGGAUAAGGCUCCGGAAAUAAAUUAGAAUGCAUUGAACUUCUUAAGUUGUAAACAAAGUCAGUCACAUAAGCACUCCCGCAUGUUCUGGAUACGUGAUCAUGGACGUCUUCACCGAUUCGCGGACGUAGGUUACACGUAACCGGAAAUGGGAGUUAUACUGAGCCGUUAUUUGAGACUUUAUUUUGUAUUUUAUUAAUUUUUGGUUUUACAGGUACUUUAGAUUUUUUAUCGGACCUGUCUGUGGUCUUUGAAUAAUUCUGACUCAUGUUCAGUGAUUUCCAGAGGGGUUUACACGCUAGGAGGAUUUAUGUUAGUAUUUUCGCUGCGGCACAGCUGAGGUCACUUUAAAUUUAUUGCUAGCAAUUUUUGUUUGGGUGAGCAACUCUCACUUAGCGAGCAACUCCUCGCAAAACAACAGGCAACUCCCUGUGUCUUUCUGCUUUUAAUUUACUGCUUUUAACCCUUGAGACCCGUGUUUUGUUUUUUUUUGUUUUUUUUUAAAGAAAAAUUAAACAAUUAAUUAUUAUUAUUAUUUUU
ensembl:lncRNA